rnacentral:rRNA from 1 species
UACGUAGGGGGCAAGCGUUGUCCGGAUUUAUUGGGCGUAAAGAGCGUGUAGGCGGCCAGGUAGGUCCGCUGUGAAAACUCGAGGCUUAACCUCGAGAUGUCGGUGGAAACCAUCUGGCUAGAGUCCGGAAGAGGAGAGUGGAAUUCCUGGUGUAGCGGUGAAAUGCGCAGAUAUCUGGAGGAACACCGGUGGCGAAGGCGGCAUCCUGGACCGACACUGACGCUGAGGCGCGAAAGCUAGGGUAGCAAACGGG